rnacentral:rRNA from 1 species
UACGUAGGUGGCAAGCGUUAUCCGGAUUUAUUGGGCGUAAAGGGAACGCAGGCGGUCUUUUAAGGCUGAUGUGAAAGCCUUCGGCUUAACCGGAGUAGUGCAUUGGAAACUGGGAGACUUGAGUGCAGAAGAGGAGAGUGGAACUCCAUGUGUAGCGGUGAAAUGCGUAGAUAUAUGGAAGAACACCAGUGGCGAAAGCGGCUCUCUGGUCUGUAACUGACGCUGAGGUUCGAAAGCGUGGGUAGCAAACAGG